AAAAAUUGGUGUCAAUUUCGUUGAGUAUUUGGAUUCUCCAAAACAGGUUGUCAGAAAGUACCGGGUGUGUGAUGUGAUAAAACUAUUCAACCAGAAAUACAGUGAAGCUUGUGGGAAAAUGUGCCGAGUACCUUAUUUAAAUGGAGGAUUUACUGUUACUGGUUUGCCAGAAGAAAAGAUGACGAUUUAAAAACUAUAUCACAAAAAUUUCGACAAUUUGUUGGAUUUUGUCGUGAUUUAUUAAAAAG